CAUGUACGUACCUCCCCUUCAUCGUCCCGUCUCAAAACUCUCUCCCUCCCUCCAUCUCUCCCUCUCUCUGGCUAAGGUAGCAGUGUAGCGAUCCGACCGAGAAGAUGAGCUCUAUUGGCAUGAUGGAGGCGAGGAUGCCGCCGGGGUUCCGGUUCCACCCACGGGACGAGGAGCUGGUCCUCGACUACCUCCUCCACAAGCUCACCGGCCGGCGCGCAUACGGUGGCGUCGACAUCGUGGACGUCGACCUCAACAAGUGCGAGCCAUGGGACCUUCCAGGUACGUACCCAAGCGUUCCUACUUCCUACGUGCCUACUCAUCUCUCGACGUCACUGCUGUUCGUAGCAACCUUUCUUCGUCCAUUAGCCCGGCGCUCUGUUGGUUCUUGUUCCUGCAUGCAGUUCAUGGCGCUGGCGACCAACUUAAUUUUUGUGAAAAAAAACUUAAUGAUUUCUUCAAGGAAAGGAAGGUUGAUUGAUUCAUUCUGCUUCUGCAAGUGGGAAAAAAAAAGAGUGAAAACAAUCCGGAGACCUUCGAUGUGUUACACUGACGUGAUAACCAACUACACCUCGCUGAAAUCAUACUUUCUGCUAAUUUACCGAAGCUGUAUAUUUGGAUUUUGGACAGAUUGGUUGCAUGCUAAAAUGUUUGGAUGGAUUCGUCUUGCUUCUCCUUGUGCAGAGGCGGCGUGCGUGGGCGGCAGGGAGUGGUACUUCUUCAGCCUGCGCGACCGCAAGUACGCCACCGGCCAGCGCACCAACCGCGCCACGCGCUCCGGCUACUGGAAGGCCACCGGCAAGGACCGCGCCAUCCUCGCGCACGGCGAGGCGUUGGUGGGGAUGCGCAAGACGCUCGUCUUCUACCAGGGGAGGGCCCCCAAGGGGACGAGAACGGAGUGGGUCAUGCACGAGUUCCGCCUCGAGGAGGAGCGACACCGCCACCACCACCAGCAGAAGGGCGGCGCCGCCGCCGCCGAGGCGAGGUGCCAGCUCAAGGAAGACUGGGUGCUAUGCAGGGUGUUCUACAAGAGCAGAACAAGCAGCCCAAGGCCACCAUCUGAAGAAGUCUGCACAUUUUUUAGCGAGCUGGACCUUCCGACUAUGCCACCGCUCGCGCCCCUCAUCGACGCGUGCAUCGCCUUCGACAGCGGCACCGCGAUGAACACCAUCGAGCAAGUGUCCUGCUUCUCCGGCCUGCCAGCACUACCCCUCAGGGGAUCGAUGAGCUUCGGGGACCUGCUGGGCUGGGACAACCCUGAGAAGAAGGCCAUCAGGACAUCUCUGAGCAACAUGUCAAGUAACAGCAAUUCCAAGUUGGAGUUGACCCCAAACUGGAGCCAGGAGAACGGCUUGUCACAGAUGUGGACACCCCUCUGAAUCUUGAUAUGAGACUAUUGUGCUGCUAGUUGAAGUGUGGUGGUGGCUAGUAAGUAAUUAGAUGACAUAUUCUUUCUAAUGAUAUUGGAGUAGCAUUGGACUAUUGGUUGAUGCAGUGUCUGUUCCUAGGGAUUUGAUGGAAGUGUGUGUUGAUUUACAAACCAGUAGAUUAGUGGAAUGGCUUGAUAUAGCAUCUGUACAUAGGAAUGCUAAGAAAUGUCCUAUUUUAAUUUUACUAUUUCUUUCUACUCUCCAAAUGUAAUGUAACCUCCAGCUGAAAGUAAAUACUAUGUGGAUAACCCCUAUUUGUCAUUC
rnacentral:rRNA from 1 species